rnacentral:rRNA from 1 species
GUUUGAUCCUGGCUCAGGAUGAACGCUAGCGGCAGGCUUAACACAUGCAAGUCGAGGGCAGCGGGGCCGUGGUAGCGAAGUACCGGGGUGCCGGCGACCGGCGCACGGGUGCGUAACGCGUAUGCAACCUGCCCUGUACAGGGGGAUAACGGAGGGAAACUUCCACUAAUAUCCCAUGGGUGUCGCGAGGCCGCAUGGUGUUGCGACUAAAGCUUCGGUGGUACAGGAUGGGCAUGCGUGACAUUAGGUAGUUGGCGGGGUAACGGCCCACCAAGCCGACGAUGUCUAGGGGAGCUGAGAGGCUAACCCCCCACACUGGUACUGAGACACGGACCAGACUCCUACGGGAGGCAGCAGUGAGGAAUAUUGGUCAAUGGACGGAAGUCUGAACCAGCCAUGCCGCGUGGAGGAAGAAGGUCCUAUGGGUUGUAAACUCCUUUUGUUCCGGAGUAAUAAGCGGUUUGCGAACCGUGAUGAGAGUACGGGACGAAUAAGCAUCGGCUAACUCCGUGCC